rnacentral:lncRNA from 1 species
CUCCUGAUUAGUUGAGUGUAGUUACCGUCAAUUGUGAACCCUAUCUAUUAAUCAGCACGUGCUUUUGGAAUAGCUAGUUUGCGUCUCAAUCCACAAAUAAUAUAACGAUACAGAUGGCGGGAGAAAGGGGGGAUGUUGUUGGAUUGUUGACUAUCUAUUAGGUUCAGUUUCCUGCCCCCAUGAUAAUAGGCCUAGGAGACUGAUAAAUCUAAUUGGGUGAGCCCCAAUAAGUUGAAUAGGACUGCAAUUCAUAAUAGAGCUAACGUCCAGAUGAGUUGAACCUGUAA